CUGCUCUUUUUAAUCUUCGUGUGAUCUAACCUAUGAUACAGAGUGUGCGGUCAUCCCUGCUCUGUAUUGCAAUAAUACAAGUGUGUGGUUAUCCCUGCUUGUAUUGGUUGUGAAUGCGGCGGAGCACUAGUGUAUGGUCAUCCCUGCUGGUGUUGUGUCCUUUCUUGAGCAAAUGUGCGCCCAUCCCUGCUUGCGUUAACGUUUGUACCUGUUGAGUUGCGUAGGUGUGCGGUCAUACAUGUCUGCGUAACGUUGAGUCCCAAUAAAUGUGCAGGAGCGGUGAUUAAAGUCUGCUCUUGUAGAUAUUGGCAGCAAUCAGGACUGGAAGAGUCUACUACCUAACCCAGUCGGGAAGUUCGGAAAAAAGAAAUCCGGUAGGUUUUUUUUUAUUAUACAAGAACAGUAAUAUCGAGCCCGAUUACGAUUUCGCAGAAGAAAUUGCGGACUUACGACUACAAACGCGUUUGCGGGAUGUUAACGUAAGACUGAAAAUACAUAUAAUAACGAGUAAGUAAGUACAAAAUAUGAUAAAUGGAAUGGCCACGAAGCAUUUAUUGGGUAUUUGACAUAACUACAGGCUUUAAAAUAGUGAGAACUCAGGUACCGGUGUAGUUUUACAUAUAAACAUGUCUAGACUAUAAAUAUCUAUUCUGUCUGUGAUGAUAUGAUACUGUAUAUCAACUUUUAUUUUUAUUUAUGUGCGAAAAAUUCAAAGACGCUUGUUAGAGUCUCAUUGUUGCAGAUAUUUCUCUCUACGGAUCAUUAUUUGCCAUUGACUUUCUGAUGAACAAAUAUGCAUAGGAUCAUAAUGCAGCACCUGAAAACCAAGCCACACCAAUCACAACAGGUUCCCCUACAUAGUCACACAGUUCAAAUGUUGAAUUUCCAUGACCCAGAUUGAAUGCACCAGAAGCAGUGGCACCAUCACUUGUGAAAUGGGAAAUGACGAGUGGACGGUCAUCACUUUGCAAUUCACCGAUGCAUUUCACAGGUCAUCUCUUUUAAUCUCUAAUAGUGGUCUCUGGAGGAAUGGUUGCAUUGCAGUUUUCAUGUCCUGGGCAGGUAACUUCCUUUUCAUGAGCUCUAAGAUUGGCACCUUUCUUGCACAGUUUAUAAAACACUGCCACAACAUUAUUUUUCACUAAAAGUGUAUGUCACUUGUGUGGCAGCUUGGCCUGAUGUUUACCCGAUGGCACUGAAAGUGGCAUUGUUAUACAAGGCAUAUCGUUCUGCUCUCAUAGGUGUAUUGGUAUGCCCUAAUUUUUAACUCACCGAAAUGAAGUCGUGGGGAUCUUAUGCUAUACACUCGGUGUUGGUGUUUUUUUAAACUCCGUCUCCAAUGAAAAUAGGAAAGGGGCAACUAUAUAUCACAUCCAUGAUAUUUUGAACCCGCUCUUGAGUUGCAAUUGAAUAGCAGAGGGGCAGGUUGUCUCUAAAAAUUAAAGUAGAAGGACGAAAUAAAAAGUAGAAAGGGGAUCAGGGGGUCUUGCUUAUAGCUACAUUGUGUUGAAAUGCAAUAAUAGCCGGGUAAUUAAGGCAUUAUAGGCGGUGGAAUUCCCCACCUCUCGGGUCUUAAAGACCACCCUAGAGGUGGGUUCGAUAUUUUAUUGGCGGGGUGGGGGGUCAAUAUAUCACAGCAAUAUUUAACCCAGGUUCAAUAUUUAUCGGGGUUCAAAAUAUUAUAACAGUGGGACGGACAACUUCGGAAUGGACAUUUUUCCGGCGUUGCGCACCCCUUUCCAUACACACUAUCGACCAAAGUUUAGUACCGAAUGGUGUUGUUUUUUUUAUUCUAAAUGAAUUCAUGGGGAAAGAAAUUGAAAUAUUUUAGAUAGUUUUUUAGACAUUUGAACUUAAAAGUUCCAACCCCAUGGGACAAAGGUAAUAACUGUAUUGUUUUUUUUGGUGAUAUUCAGUCAUUUAAGCGAUUCCGAUUUUUCUCUUCGGAGUUUGUUUGACCUUCUCGAGAUCACGGCAAUUUUUACAAAACAGCAAAUGUGCAAAAAACCCAUAGUAAAUGCAUUGAGGUUAUUUAAAGUGCUUUUUGGAUACUAAAAACAGAUUUCGCUGGCUAAUAGGUUUAAAAUAAAAGAUGUGAAACUCCUAGUUAAUUAUGGGCUUGAAGUUUGUGUACUCAUCAAUAUUUGUAUCCCUGAAGAUGAUGAAUGUGGACUAAUAGCUGAGCCUCAACAACAAUUGCUGCAGAAAACUUUGAUGAUAUA